rnacentral:lncRNA from 1 species
GGAACCUCCAAUUUACAAAGCAAGCCUCGUCUGUGUGGCACGGCACAGUCCCAAGAGUGUUGGCCACCAGGGCUCCUCUUGUGGUCCCUCCCAGUAUCCACUCUGCCAGUGAUUCUCCAGAGACGCCACAGUACAUCUAGAAUGGUUCCCACAGACCUUGAUUGAAUUCACUUUGACUCAGCAGUGAUUCCUAAGUGGGACCGAGGGGAUAAACAGGAUUCUCUUGCACUGAUGACCAAUUACUUGCCAAAGAUCAGCUCUUGCACCCCUCAGGCUGGAGACCAUGGGCAAGAAGCUUCCAGUGUUGGCAGGGCAGAUUGGAGGAUGCACGCCCCUCUGCAGCCCGGUCCUUGAGGUCCUCAGCAAUGCCCAGCUGCUGCUCAUGAUACUGUUUUGCCCUCUCCAAAUCCUGCAUACACCUGGCAGCAUGGCCUAGGCCAGCAUAGGCCCGCAUCUCAAUGGCCUUCUCCAUCAGCUCCUGCGCCAGCUCCAGUACAUAGUUGUGGUAAGACAUGGCCUUGUCAAAGUUCCUCCGGUAGUGGUAGGCACUGCCCAGGUUGCUGUAGGCCCGGGCCUCCUCUCGCUUAUUUCCCAGGUCUUUAGCAAUCUUCAGGUGCUGCUCAUGGCACUGCACAGCAUUCUCAAAGUCACCCAUAGCAAUGUACACUGCACCCAUGUUGCCAAGUUCUCGGGCUUCGGAAAGUUCAUCUUUGGAUUGCUUGGCAAGAAGAACACACUGUUUGUGACUGGCUAGUGCAUUGGGAUAGUCUCCAAUCGCUGUGUACACAUGGCCCAGACUGCUCAGGGCUGACGAGGCUGCCUGGAGAGAAAGGAUAAGGCAAAGAAAUGAAAGUGCAUUAGAAAAUGGCUUUGGUUUGUUUCAGUAGAUAAAAUUUCAGAGUUUGUAACUAUCAAUCCAAUUCCUAAUGGUGUUUCUAUCAGUGGGCCACAGACUUAUGCAGAACUGAUAAAGACCACAUCCAACAGCAAGUUCCUAAUAGAAAACAAUGGUGACGUAAUCAGUAGCUUUCCAUACCUAAUCUCACAGAAACAGGUUGUGUUCCAUAUAACCUUCACCCCUGGCUUACGGACUUACUGACAUUUCUAAUAUUCACUAUUGUAUUACAGCUCUUAAUACCUG